rnacentral:rRNA from 1 species
GACGAACGCUGGCGGCGCGCUUAACACAUGCAAGUCGAGCGAGAACCUUCCUUCGGGAAGGGGAAAGCGGCGAACGGGUGAGUAACACGUGGGUAAUCAACCCUCGGUACCGGGAUAGCCCGAGGAAACUCGGAUUAAUACCGGAUGGCCCAACAGCUCUUCGGGGCGGUUGGAAAAGGUAGCUUCGGCCUCCGACCGAGGACGAGCCCGCGGCGGAUUAGCUUGUUGGUGAGGUAACGGCCCACCAAGGCGACGAUCCGUAGCUGGUCU